AGCUACAUUACUUGGGUGAACCUGUGUCUGAGGAAUCCAGGAGGUGUCCUUCAUCCUCAGAAUGGGGGUCUGGGGAAUAUACCAAGAGAAAGAGCAUUUCCUGCUUGUCCCAAGUAGAAACUGUUGUGGUGCAGACUUUUGUGGCUCAGAUAAUGAUGUGAGUUGAUUCCUUGAACUCACUCUUGAACAAGCUGGGGAGAUUUGGUUUCUAUCAGAGAUCAGGCCACAGUGGGAAAAGAGUAAACAUCUUAACAUUGGAAUACUUACUGAAAGAUACACCCAUCCCCAAGGAGAAGUCUCCAACUUGGAGCGCAUCUUUCUUUGCUUGGCAUUUAACAGUAGGAGGACAGACAGGGCAGACUACUUCCUGGAAUCAUUUCCACCCCAAAGGUGACUGAAGACCUCAUUCUAAGCUCAACAGAGUAAACAAGGCUCAAAUGGAGCUCUGGCCUAAUGCAAACGGAGAGAUAAGAUCCAGAGAGCAGCACACUGGGAGGUGCCUGCAAGUCAGUAUCUCUAGGACUAUUGUCCAUUGCCAUUUGCAGAGCCUCUCAGGUGGAGGAAGGACAGAGAAAGCCAUCCCAGAGGGGAACAGAAUCAAUCCCAGCUGCUCAUUAAAAGGCUCCCGUCUCAGUCUGGGCAAGGCUAAAUAAGAAGAACUGUUAGGAAAAUCGGAGGCGAGGACACAAAUGAAUGCUCUACCUUUGGCAUUUAGAUGCGGGUCUGAUCCUGAACCAUGUGUGUCUUCCUGUGUGACAUUUUCAGCGCCGAACUGGAAAAUGAGUCUAAGCACAGAUAUGGUCUAUAAUGAAUCCAUCUGGCCACACAUCAAGUUUUUAAAUAUUUACAAUUAUGGCCCUGGCCUUAUUAAACUUGCAGGAAAACGGCAGCAGCAGGGCUUACAUAUGGGGCUUGAGAAGGCUCCCUUGGCCAGCACCAUGACAGCAGAUGUCUGAAAUUUCUAGAAAAAUAUACACUUGUUUGCCAGAUGCUUGAGACCAGGAAAUGGUAUGAAAACAUCAGGAAAGUGGCU